rnacentral:rRNA from 1 species
CCCUUAGACGUUCUGGGCCGCACGCGCGCUACACUGACACAGGCAACGAGCUUUCCUUUACCGAAAGGUAUGGGUAAUCUUUUGAAACUGUGUCGUGCUGGGGAUAGAUCCUUGCAUUUUUUGAUCUUAAACGAGGAAUUCCUAGUAAGCGCGAGUCAUCAACUCGCGUUGAUUACGUCCCUGCCCUUUGUACACACCGCCCGUCGCUACUACCGAUUGAAUGGCUUAGUGAGGCCUCAGGAUCCGCGCUUAAUGUGUGGAGAAUUUGGACAAACUACGUCAUUUAGAGGAAGUAAAAGUCGUAACA